GACGAACGCUGGCGGCGUGCCUAAUACAUGCAAGUAGAACGCUGAAGGAGGAGCUUGCUUCUCUGGAUGAGUUGCGAACGGGUGAGUAACGCGUAGGUAACCUGCCUGGUAGUGGGGGAUAACUAUUGGAAACGAUAGCUAAUACCGCAUAAUAGCAGUUGUUGCAUGAUAACUGUUUGAAAGGUGCAAUUGCACCGCUACCAGAUGGACCUGCGUUGUAUUAGCUAGUUGGUGGGGUAACGGCUCACCAAGGCGACGAUACAUAGCCGACCUGAGAGGGUGAUCGGCCACACUGGGACUGAGACACGGCCCAGACUCCUACGGGAGGCAGCAGUAGGGAAGCUUAGGCAAAGGACGGAAGUCUGACCGAGAAACGCCGCGUGAGGGAAGAAGGUUUUCGGAUCGUAAAGCUCUGUUGUAAGAGAAGAACGAGUGUGAGAGUGGAAAGUUCACACUGUGACGGUAGCUUACCAGAAAGGGACGGCUAACUACGUG
rnacentral:rRNA from 1 species